rnacentral:rRNA from 1 species
AGGGUGCAAACGCUGCAGACUUGGUGUUGGAAGCCCUUUGGGGGCAUUCAGUGCCGGAGAGAAGUUGUUAAGUCUGCUACUUGGGGAGUACGUCCGCAAGGAUGAAACUUAAAGGAAUUGGCGGGGGAGCACCGCAACGGGAGGAGCGUGCGGUUUAAUUGGAUUCAACACCGUAAAACUCACCAGGGAAGACUGUUACAUGAAGGCCGAGAUGAAGACUCUGCUAGAUUUUCAGAGAGGAGGUGCAUGGCGUCAGUGACU